rnacentral:lncRNA from 1 species
GAAAAAGUAGCCAGCCCACCAUCCCUAGAUGAUUUUGCAGUCUUUGCACACCAGUGUGGCCAUAGGCUUGUUUUCUCCUGGACUGAGCCUGCAGAUCCUAUGAGCAAGCAUAUGUCCUGUGCUCCACUAGUCCUAGCUGGAUCGUGGACAUAUUACCAUCAUUACAAAUAUCAAUAGUUUGUGAUUACUUCAAACAAUCUGAAGUUGAAGGACCCCAGAUAUCCUUCAAAACAGGAAUCUGCAGGCAGAUGCUGAAACCAUGAAUACAGAGGGACAACUAUGUCCACAAGAUAUAAUGCUGAGAAAGGCUAAUAAAUCAAGGUGGGUAUGAAAAGCUUAGGGAUAAAAUUCAUAAAAACUUGAACUGCGGGAGGACACCUUUUCUCUAGCUGCUAAAAUAUGAAAUUUCUUGACUUUUUUGGUGCUUCACAGAUAAACUAAUAUAAACUAUAGUUCUCAUUUUUACUCAUUUCUCCCUGCUUUCCUUCUAUUCCUUUCUGCUCCAAUUUAGCCAAUCUAAUGUCUAAAUACAGAAUAGAAAAAUGUGUCUUCUAAUUUACUUUAAAAUGAUGACUGGAUGAAUACGUAACCACUGCUCUGAAUGGAAGACUUCGACUGGAAGACUUUUUCACAUGACCCAGGGAAAGGCACAAAGAAACAAAGCUUGUGAUGCUCUAAAAUAAUCAAUUCAUUUGGCCAACACCAUGCACAGAAUGGAAAGCUUUUGCCUCAUUUUUCUUCCCCCC